rnacentral:rRNA from 1 species
CAGCCGUAAACUAUGCGCGUUAGGUGUAUCGGUGACCACGAGUUACCGAGGUGCCGAAGGGAAACCGUGAAACGUGCCGCCUGGGAAGUACGGUCGCAAGGCUGAAACUUAAAGGAAUUGGCGGGGGAGCACCACAACAGGUGGAGCCUGCGGUUUAAUUGGACUCAACGCCGGGAAGCUCACCGGAUAGGACAGCAGAAUGAUUGCCGGGCUGAAGACCCUGCAUGACUAGCUGAGAGGAGGGUGCAUGGCGUCAGUGACU